AUUGCUUCCUGGCCUUUUAGCAAAGAUCAAGCACAGUAUCUAUUUAAUAAGUUUAAUGUCUUCUACAGGCUCUCUUUAAGGACUAUAUAAGUGACUUUUUGGAACAAAGAGAUGGAAUGGAGGUUUGCUCCAUCAAUUCUGUACACCACUUAUUACAAUACCUCCAGGAAUGGUACAACCCUU
ensembl:snRNA U2 U2 spliceosomal RNA